GAAAGACCACAAACCCUCACAGACUGUUCCUCCUCAAGCCCAAAAUAGGCUUGUUUUUCAAAUGCUUCUCCGCAAUUCUCAGUGAAAAUGGAAUGAGGGAUAGAGAGAGAGAGAGAGAGAGAGGGAGGGAGGGAGAGACAGAGGGAGGGAGGGAGAGACAGAGGGAGAGAGGGAGGGAGAGAGAGAGAAGGAGGGGGAGAGAGAGAAGGAGGGGGAGAGAGAGAAGGAGGGGGAGAGAGAGAAGGAGGGGGAGAGAGAGAGAGAGAGACGGAGACUCCAAAUGUAAGUCCCUUCUGGAAUCUUAUCGGAUUCCAAAUGAUCUAGACUCUGUUCCUACACAGGUAACACUCCACAAGACAUGACACCGGACAGCAGACAUUUGGAAUCUUCUGGAUGUCAGAGCCACCUUUUUCUUUCAUCUUUCCAACCAGAUGAAUGCCAAACUUGCAAGGCGGGUCAAGUGAGGACGGCAGAACAUAAUGGAAAAUUUUCAGAGGCAGAAUGUGAUCACGUCACGGCAAGAAUGUUGGACGUCAGGGCCGAAGCCCAGGUGUUAGUCACAGCUAACUCUGACUCAAGCCAGGACAAAA